GCGUGUAGGGGAGCGGAUCCAUUACCUUUUGCGGUUGAUCCCAACCUGACUUCGGCAGACGAAGGUUUCUCUGAUUCAGGUUCUUGUGCCCGUAAGGGUGUGGGGGUUCGAGUCCCCCCUUUCGCACCA
rnacentral:tRNA from 1 species